rnacentral:rRNA from 1 species
AGAGUUUGAUCAUGGCUCAGAACGAACGCUGGCGGCAUGCCUAACACAUGCAAGUCGAACGAGGCCUUCGGGUCUAGUGGCGCACGGGUGCGUAACGCGUGGGAAUCUGCCCUUGGGUUCGGAAUAACAGUUAGAAAUGACUGCUAAUACCGGAUGAUGUCUUCGGACCAAAGAUUUAUCGCCCAAGGAUGAGCCCGCGUAGGAUUAGGUAGUUGGUGGGGUAAUGGCCCACCAAGCCGACGAUCCUUAGCUGGUCUGAGAGGAUGAUCAGCCACACUGGGACUGAGACACGGCCCAGACUCCUACGGGAGGCAGCAGUGGGGAAUAUUGGACAAUGGGCGAAAGCCUGAUCCAGCAAUGCCGCGUGAGUGAUGAAGGCCUUAGGGUUGUAAAGCUCUUUUACCCGGGAUGAUAAUGACAGUACCGGGAGAAUAAGCUCCGGCUAACUCCGUGCCAGCAGCCGCGGUAAUACGGAGGGAGCUAGCGUUGUUCGGAAUUACUGGGCGUAAAGCGUACGUAGGCGGUUAUUCAAGUCAGAGGUGAAAGCCCGGGGCUCAACCCCGGAACUGCCUUUGAAACUAGGUAGCUAGAAUCUUGGAGAGGUCAGUGGAAUUCCGAGUGUAGAGGUGAAAUUCGUAGAUAUUCGGAAGAACACCAGUGGCGAAGGCGACUGACUGGACAAGUAUUGACGCUGAGGUACGAAAGCGUGGGGAGCAAACAGGAUUAGAUACCCUAGUAGUCC